GAGCAACAGGGAUUGCCCCAGUAACGGCGAGUGAAGCGGCAGGAGCUCAAAUUUGAAAUCUGGGGCCCCCGGCCUCCGAGUUGUAAUUUGGAGAGGCUCCUUCGGGGGGGAGCGCUGGCCCAUGUUCCUUGGAACAGGACGUCGCAGAGGGUGAGAAUCCCGUGCCAGGCCGGCUGCCUCCUCCCGCGUGAAGGGCCUUCGACGAGUCGAGUUGUUUGGGAAUGCAGCUCCAAGCGGGUGGUAAAUUUCAUCUAAAGCUAAAUACCGGCGGGAGACCGAUAGCGCACAAGUAGAGUGAUCGAAAGAUGAAAAGCACUUUGAAAAUAGAGUCAAAAAGUACGUGAAAUUGUUGAAAGGGAAGCGCUUGAGACCAGACUCAGACCCAGGCAAACACCGCGCCCCCAGGGGCCGUGCAAUUGCCCGGUGCUGGGCCAGCAUCAGUUGGCGUGGCGGGACAAGGGCGCGGGAAAUGUGGCUCCCCUCGGGGAGUGUUACCAGGCCCGCGCCGGAUGCCGCCGACGCCGACUGAGGACCGCGCCUCGGCUAGGAUGCUGGCUUAAUGGCCUUCAGCGACCCGUCUUGAAACACGGACCAAGGAGUCUAACAUCUAUGCGAGUGUUUGGGCGCCAAACCCUUGCGCGGAAUGAAAGUGAGCGGAGGUGGGAACCCCUCAACCGGGCGCACCAUCGACCGAUCCUGAUGUCUUCGGAUGGAUUUGAGUAGGAGCAUAGCUGUUGGGACCCGAAAGAUGGUGAACUAUGCCUGAAUAGGGUGAAGCCAGAGGAAACUCUGGUGGAGGCUCGCAGCGGUUCUGACGUGCAAAUCGAUCGUCAAAUUUGGGUAUAGGGGCGAAAGACUAAUCGAACCAUCUAGUAGCUGGUCUGC
rnacentral:rRNA from 1 species